rnacentral:rRNA from 1 species
AGAGUUCGAUUCUGGCUCAGGACGAACGCUGGCGGCGUGCUUAACACAUGCAAGUCGAACGGAGCACCCUUGACGGAGUUUUCGGACAACUGAUAGGAAUGCUUAGUGGCGGACUGGUGAGUAACGCGUGAGGAACCUGCCUUUCAGAGGGGGACAACAGUUGGAAACGACUGCUAAUACCGCAUGAUACAUUUGAGCGGCAUCGCUUGAAUGUCAAAGAUUUUAUCGCUGAAAGAUGGCCUCGCGUCUGAUUAGCUAGUUGGCGGGGUAACGGCCCACCAAGGCGACGAUCAGUAGCCGGACUGAGAGGUUGACCGGCCACAUUGGGACUGAGAUACGGCCCAG